rnacentral:lncRNA from 1 species
GUAGAUGUAGGUACAAAUAUGUCAGAAGAAAAAUAGUCAAUUGCAAGUAAAAAAAAAAAGAACCGAAAAUGCACGAAUGGUCAGUUUCAAAGUCGGUGCAAAAGAAAAAGAACACUCAAUAAGAGAAAAAAAACUCCAAAAGACAUAGAGGAAAAUUGGUUAUCCAAACUCACCAAAAUGCCGAAAAAUGCCACCAAAAGUGCCCCUAGCAGAAAAUGCACAAGCAAAACCUCCCUCAAACGGCAGCACACUCC